UACGAAGGGUGCAAGCGUUAAUCGGAAUUACUGGGCGUAAAGCGUGCGCAGGCGGCUUGCCAAGUCAGAUGUGAAUGCCCCGGGCUUAACCCGGGAACGGCGUUUGAAACUGGCAGGCUAGAGUUUGGCAGAGGGGGGUGGAAUUCCACGUGUAGCAGUGAAAUGCGUAGAGAUGUGGAGGAACAUCAGUGGCGAAGGCGGCCAUCUGGGACAACACUGACGCUGAAGCACGAAAGCGUGGGGAGCAAACAGG
rnacentral:rRNA from 1 species